CCUACGGGAGGCAGCAGUGAGGAAUAUUGGUCAAUGGGCGGGAGCCUGAACCAGCCAAGCCGCGUGAGGGAAGAAGGUACAGCGUAUCGUAAACCUCUUUUGUCAGGGAACAAAGGCGGGGACUAGUCCCCGGAUGAGGGUACCUGAACAAAAAGCAUCGGCUAACUCCGGGCCAGCAGCCGCGGUAAUACGGGGGAUGCGAGCGUUAUCCGGGUUUAUGGGGUUAAAAGGGUGCGCAGGCGGCCUGUUAAGUCAGCGGUAAAAGCCCGGGCCUCAACCCCGGCGAGCCGUUGAAACUGGCGGGCUGGAGUUGGAGAGAAGUACGCGGAAUGCGCGGUGUAGCGGUGAAAUGCUUAGAUAUCGCGCAGAACCCCGAUUGCGAAGGCAGCGUACCGGCUCCACACUGACGCUGAGGCACGAAAGCGUGGGUAUCGAACAGGAUUAGAUACCCCAGUAGUC
rnacentral:rRNA from 1 species